AUUGAACGCUGGCGGCAGGCCUAACACAUGCAAGUCGAGCGGAGCGGCGGACGGGUGAGUAAUGCCUAGGAAUCUGCCUGGUAGUGGGGGAUAACGUCCGGAAACGGGCGCUAAUACCGCAUACUUUCCGAUGAACCCUGGUCGGAUUAGCGAGUUUGUUGGGUAAAGGCCUACCAAGGCGAACAUCCGUAACUGGUCUGAGAGGAUGAUCAGUCACACUGGAACUGAGACACGGUCCAGACUCCGACGUGAGGCAGCAGUGGGGAAUAUUGGACAAUGGGCGAAAGCCUGAUCCAGCCAUGCCGCGUGUGUGAAGAAGGUCUUCGGAUUGUAAAGCACUUUAAGUUGGGAGGCGUUACCAACAGAAUAAGCACCGGCUAACUUCGUGCCAGCCGCCGCGGUAAUAC
rnacentral:rRNA from 1 species